GCAAGUCGAGGGAGAAAUUGUUUUUCGGAAUAAUGGAAACCGGCGCACGGGUGAGUAACGCGUACACUACCUACCUUAUACUGGGGAAUAGCCUUGGGAAACUGAGAGUAAUACCCCAUAGUCCAGAAAUGGUAAAGCUCCGGCGGUAUUAGAUGGGUGUGCGUUUGAUUAGCUAGUUGGUAAGGUAAUGGCUUACCAAGGCGACGAUCAAUAGGGGGCGUGAGAGCGUGAUC
rnacentral:rRNA from 1 species